UACAGAGGUCUCAAGCGUUGUUCGGAUUCAUUGGGCGUAAAGGGUGUGUAGGCGGCGCGGUAAGUCGGAUGUGAAAUCUCGGAGCUUAACUCCGAAACUGCAUUCGAUACUGCCGUGCUUGAGGACUGGAGAGGAGACUGUAAUUUACGGUGUAGCGGUGAAAUGCGUAGAUAUCGUAAGGAAGACCAGUGGCGAAGGCGGGUCUCUGGACAGUUCCUGACGCUGAGGCACGAAGGCCAGGGGAGCAAACGGG
rnacentral:rRNA from 1 species